rnacentral:rRNA from 1 species
AUUGAACGCUGGUGGCAUGCCUUACACAUGCAAGUCGAACGGUAACAGGUCUUCGGAUGCUGACGAGUGGCGAACGGGUGAGUAAUACAUCGGAACGUGCCUAGUAGUGGGGGAUAACUACUCGAAAGAGUGGCUAAUACCGCAUGAGAUCUACGGAUGAAAGCAGGGGAUCGCAAGACCUUGUGCUACUAGAGCGGCCGAUGGCAGAUUAGGUAGUUGGUGGGAUAAAAGCUUACCAAGCCGACGAUCUGUAGCUGGUCUGAGAGGACGAUCAGCCACACUGGGACUGAGAAACGGCCCAGACUCCUACGGGAGGCAGCAGUGGGGAAUUUUGGACAAUGGGCGCAAGCCUGAUCCAGCAAUGCCGCGUGCAGGAUGAAGGCCUUCAGGUUGUAAACUGCUUUUGUACGGAACGAAAAGCCCCGGGUUAAUACCCUGGGGUCAUGACGGUACCGUAAGAAUAAGCACCGGCUAACUACGUGCCAGCCGCCGCCGUAA